AUGGAAAGUCUCCCCGAGGGUCCCAUGGGAGGCCGGGACGGACACGGGCGGCUAGUGGGUGACGGAGCCGCCCCUCCCAGUUCCCUGGGGGGCUCUUCGUGUUUGCCCCCCCCCCGCCGCCCCCAUCGGCCUGAGCAGCGCUUGCCCCCCCUCCGGGGCAGGAGGAGGCCGCUGGCCCCAGACGCUGCCCCCCCACACGCCACAGGCCUCCGACUAUGGAAAUAUCCCCCAUCACUCAUGCUCUCACUCAUCACUCAGUGCCCCCCCCAGAGCCAGCUGGGGCUCCCACCCACCGCCGACCCCCCGGCCCCGCCCGCUCCCAGAAUAGCCGCGGGCAGAGACGGCUCCUCGGCCAGGGCCCGCAGGCGCAGCAGCCAGUCCUCGGCCUGCUCCAGGGCGGCCAUCAGGCCCCGGGGCCCCGGGCGGCCGCUCCAGGGGCCGGCAGCUGGCUCAGGGUGCUGGUACGCAGGCGGUACAGGUAGUGGUCCAGGUGUGUGGCUGCCGGCUUCUCCCUGACGUCCACCAGAGGCUGACUGUGCGCGGAGGGAGAAAGAAGCGAGUGGGUGCCCGAAGUGGCCUCCCUCGCCCUCCCGGUGGCGCCCAGGCCGAGGGGCCCGCGGGAGCGACACGAGGUCUUUAAGAAGGCCCAGGAAAACGCAGUUUUUCCCAAGCUCAUGAAGUGCUUUCUCCAUAACGCGUGGGAACAGGCGCUCCUGCGGCGUAAUUGUUCCCACUUACAGAUGAGGAAACCGAGGCUCAGAACCCAGAGGGAGACUCUCGGCCGGGGGGGCCGGACCCCUCCUCGCGGCCCCAAGUCCCGCGGGCUCCCACUGCGCCUCCCUGGGGGGCCUUGGGGGAGGCUGAGCUCGAUCAGGGGUAUCUGGGUUCGAAAGCUACCACGGCCAGUGGUGUGAGCCACCGCAGCCUCAUCUCUGAAGUGAAGGCCCCUUAUAGCUAGAAUGUGAGUCUCUGUGUCCCCAGCACUCAGUGCACAGUAGGUGCUUCUAAAUGUUUCCUUGAUACAGUGCCUACUGUGUGCCAAGCAUUCUGCUCGGCACUUUACAACAUUGUCCCAUUUGAGUUUCACAAUAACUGGGGGGAGGCACUAUUAUUAUCCCCAUUUUACAGAUGAGGAAACUGAGGGAAAAGGUGGUCUAUUGACUUGCCCACAGUCACCAGCCAGUAAGUGCCUGAGGCCAGAUUCGAACCCAGGAGCCAAGGACCGGACGCGCUGCAGUCGCGCUCACGUUUGAACAUUAAGUUCUACGUCUGGUUUGAGGAUAAAUGUGAGGCCCCGACGUGUGGCAGAGACCAGGCAGGUUAAGGGCCAAGAAGCCCGCUCCCCACGGGCCCCUCCAGGGAUCCCCCUAACCCCGAUCGCCCCAAGUGGGGGAGGGGCAGCUCGCCAGACCUGGGGGGAGGCUCUCCCUAACUGGGCAGGGGCUCCUUGAGGGGAGCGGGAGAAGCCUUUGUUCCCAUCAGAAUCGAGGUCUCCCCUGGGGAGGGGGGACCCCAAGCCCCCCAAGUCCGAAGCCUCCCUUUUGGGUGAGGGGCUCCAGCCUGGGGGGGGGGGCUCAUCCCCCACCUGCCCCCCCCCAGCAGAGGCAGCAGAAGGCCCGUCUGGGCCCCCGCUCCCGGCUCCACGCUGAUUUAUUUCCCUGCCAAGCUCCCGAAAGGAUGCAGAAGAAUUACCCCUGAAAGGGCACCAGGUGCCCGGCCGCCCCAGACACGCUGCCUUUCAGCCGGGUUGCCGCCAAAAUUUUUCCUGUUAUUUUUUUUAAUUGAAUUUCAAAGGGGGGCGGGCAGGGAGGGGGGCCGAGUGCCGGCUCCAGCUCGGGGAAACCGGAGCCCGGGGCCUGGUUCGGGUCACGUAGCUUGGCUGGGGCUGGCUCUGAGGCCCGUGAGCCGGGCUGGGGCGGGGCCCCUCGCGGGGGCCGGGGGUCCUUCCCAGGGGGCCCAGAGCCGCAGCCCCCGGCCAGGGGCCCCGCCUGCCAGUGAGGGGGCCGGGGGGGGGGGGGGGCCCAGGCAGCCCCUGGAAGGAGAAGCCCCGCUGGGGAUUUAUGUCUGCAGCUGAGGGACAGCGGCCGGGGCAGGCCGGGAGGCCGGCCCCUGAGGGGAGGUUUUCAGGGAGGCCGAGAGCCGGCCCCCAGGCUAAGGAAAGCCCAGGCCCCUCCUGCUCCAGGAAAGCUGGGAGAGGGCGGGGGGACAGCCGGGAUCCUCAGUAUCUGCCUGGGGGGAGGGGCAAAGAGGGGCACAGACACUGCCAGAGGUGACGGCCCUGAGUGUUCUGCCUGGCUUUGGGACCAGGCCAGAGACUGCGCCCAGGAGGGGCGGGCGCCGCACAACACUCCCCAAGGGUGUCUGGGACGGAGCCCCAGAACGGCCCGCCUCCUGUGGGGCAGGAACUCCCAGUGCACCGAGGACUGGGGGGAUCUCAGGCCCCGCCUUUGGGGGACCCCUGAUCUAAUGCAGCUGAGAAGGGAGGGAAACAUCAGGGAAGCUUUUCCCGAGAGGGAGAAAGGGAACACCCGCCCCUCCCCCAGAAGGGCAGAUCCCUGAGGGCAGGCACCCUUUGCCCUUGCACCCCACCCACCCACAUCCUCGCCCCAUAAGGAGCCCUUAACGAGCACUUGUUGGAGGGUCCCUGAGUGUGGGAGUCAGAGCAUUCGCCGCAGGACCCUCCACUGCCCCCAAGGCUGGAUGGCUGGCAUGUGGGCAUGGGGCAGCGUGUGGGCAUCGGCUGGCAUGUGGGUGUGGGCAGUGUGUGGGCAUCGGCUGGCACGAUGGCAUGGGGUGGUGUGUGGGCAUCGGCUGGCAUGUGGGUGUGGGCAGUGUGUGGGCAUCGGCUGGCACGAUGGCAUGGGGCAGCAUGUGGGCAUCGGCUGGCACGUGGGCAUGGGCUGCCCGGGACGCCCCCGCUCCCCCACCCCAGCAGGCUCCCAAGGACAGCAUCUUGCGCAUAAGUCUUUGCUGACCGGAGGGAUGGAGAACACGGCCGGCGGCACCUAGGGGGCCUCGCUUUGUG
rnacentral:lncRNA from 1 species